rnacentral:rRNA from 1 species
UUCUUCGGAAUUAGUGGCAGACGGGUGAGUAACGCGUGGGAAGCUACCUUGUGGUAGGGAACAACAGUUGGAAACGACUGCUAAUACCCUAUGAGCCCUAUGGGGGAAAGAUUUAUCGCCAUGAGAUGUGCCCGCGUUAGAUUAGCUGGUUGGUAAGGUAAUGGCUUACCAAGGCGACGAUCUAUAGCUGGUCUGAGAGGAUGAUCAGCCACACUGGGACUGAGACACGGCCCAGACUCCUACGGGAGGCAGCAGUGGGGAAUAUUGGACAAUGGGGGCAACCCUGAUCCAGCCAUGCCGCGUGAGUGAUGACGGCCUUAGGGUUGUAAAGCUCUUUCAGCAGUGAAGAUAAUGACAUUAACUGCAGAAGAAGCCCCGGCUAACUUCGUGCCAGCAGCCGCGGUAAUACGAAGGGGGCUAGCGUUGUUCGGAAUCACUGGGCGUAAAGCGUACGUAGGCGGACUGAUCAGUCAGGGGUGAAAUCCCGGGGCUCAACCCCGGAACUGCCUUUGAUACUGUCAGUCUUGAGAUCGAGAGAGGUGAGUGGAACUCCGAGUGUAGAGGUGAAAUUCGUAGAUAUUCGGAAGAACACCAGUGGCGAAGGCGGCUCACUGGCUCGAUACUGACGCUGAGGUACGAA